CCGCAGCUUUUCCAGUUCCUCUCGGUGGCUUCUCGGCUGGUCCAGACGCCGUCGCGUGGUAGCCAUGUUGCCAACUGAAUUUGAUGCGGCGCUUAGCAUCCAUUAAUUGGUGAAAUCAAGAUCACGCAUCACUCAUCUGGAUCGGUUCGGCAUUCAGGGAUUUCAUUCAGGAUUGGGCUUCCGUGCUCAAUGCGAGUUCUGGGUUCAGGAUGGUGGCAGCGAGUACACGGUUUGGAUCUGCUCUUUGCUUGGCCCGCGCCAUCCGAUUUCUGGCUACCACUCAGUACCGUGGCGAGCUCAUGCACAUGGCGCUAUGUCGCUAGCGGAGUCGCCACAAAAUGCUUUGACAAGGGUUCGGAGUACGAUUCAGAUGCACAAGAAACAUCUGCAGAGAUUGCAUGAGCGGCGGCGACCGCCGACCAACAACACGCCAGCAGUCUCUGUCGUUAGGAUUAAACCACACAUGGAAUGUACAUACAUACUUUCAUUUUACCAAUAUGAAAUACGUCUUGUUGUGAUCAAAA